CCUACGGGAGGCAGCAGUGGGGAAUCUUGCACAAUGGGCGCAACCCUGACCCAGCGACGCCGCGUGAAGGAAGAAGGCUUUCGGGUUGUAAAGUUCUAUCAGCAGGGAAGAGCAGAAGCCUGUCUCUCUUGAAUACGCCACGUCUCACUCCGGGACAGCAGCCGCGGUAAUACGUAGGGGGAGCGCGUUGUCCGGCUUUACUGGGUGUAAAGGGCGUGUAGCAGGGAAGACAAGUCAGAUGUGAAAUCCCGCGGCUCAACCGCGGAACUGCAUUUGAAACUGUUUUUCUGGAGUACAGGAGAGGUCAUCGGAAUUCCUGGUGUAGCGGUGAAAUGCGUAGAUAUAAGGAAGAACACCAGUGGCGAAGGCGGAUGACUGGACGGCAACUGACGUUGAGGCUCGAAAGCGUGGGGAGCAAACAGGAUUAGAUACCCCUGUAGUC
rnacentral:rRNA from 1 species